CCUUCCUAAGUGUGCUAGUUGGGUAAUCCUAGCUGAGCGUGGGUGUGGGUGGGGGCUAUGAUGAAAAUGCCACUACCACAGCACCCCACCCUCCAUUGAUGCUCAGGGUGUCCCUGGAGUGGACAGAGCUGACAGUGAAAGUUGGUGACUCAAGGGUGAGGUACAGCAAUGGGGCCAACAGCCCUGGGGCCUUGUUUAGAAGGCAGAAUGUAGACUUGAGAAGGAUGAAGACAGAACCACCUGCUGAAGCCUGAGAGAGAGGAAGAGCAGAGUGGAGGGAGGGAAGGGAGAAGAAGAGAGGAAGAAAGGAGAUACGGCGGAGGAGCGAUCCACUGAGGCCAGAAGAUGUGUCUUUCCAGUGCCUUCCUGCUCCUCUGCCUUCCGGGCUAUUUCACUCUGAGCAUUCCCAGGAUCUUAAAAGGCACAACGGGAGGAACAUUGGUGAUGGAGUGCCGGUACAAUGUGGGAGAGGAGGGUCACAGGAAGUUCUGGUGCCGAGGGCCCAACUGGACAGACUGUGUCCGAGUCAUUGAAACGGAACAGAUGGCAGGGCAAGAGGUGAGGCGUGGCCGAGUAACCCUUCGAGACAACCCCAGAGAGCACCUUUUCCAUGUGAUCACGGAGGACCUGGAGGAAGGAGAUGCAGACACUUACUGGUGCGGGGUGGACAGGGCCACAAGUGUCCCCCAGGCCCCGGUGGCUGUGACUGUUUUUCCAGGCUCAGCAACAGUAUCAAUGAUGACCACUGAGACAUUGGCCAGCAUGGGAGCCCCAGCUCUGACCAGUCACAUGGCCAGCCCUGGCCUUCCUGCUUGGAUGUCUGGAACCUCAGCUGGAAUCCCAUAUGUGGCCUCUGCAUGUGGUCUGGGCUUCCUUACAAUAUGGUGGCUGGGUCCAUGAGCAAGUGUUCCAAGACAGCCAGGCCCUUCCUGUUCUUUGCCAGCUUCCUAUUCCUGGUCUUGCUGAAAGUCAGCCUCUUCCUGAGCUUCAGUUAUGCUGCCAUUUGGUUGGCCUGGCUUCAGCGUCACCUCUGAGGACGAUGGUCUGCCCAGCCCAGUGUAACUGCAGCUCACUCCCCAGUGACUCCCUGUCUGGUGACACAGUUCCUGGACUCUCUGCUCCAAACUCAGCCUGGACCCAUCCCUGGGAUGUGAAGCCAGAAAUGAAUCAGCCCCAGCAGAGACUUUUGUGCCUGGGCAUUGAGUCAUCUUUGCCGGAUCCUUUCCCGGGCUGGUCUGAGAGCAGACACCAGGACUCCAUGUGAGGACAUGGGCUGUGGACUGAGAUGGAUGUGUGUUCAAACUUCAGUGCUUACAACAUGACCCAGUAGAGGUUUUUGAUGGUUCUCAUCA